rnacentral:ncRNA from 1 species
AAAAAAUUUAAUUUUUGUUUAAAAAUUAAUUAAUUAAUUUAAUAAUAAUAAUGAAAAUUUAAUAUUUAAAUAAUUAAUGAGUAUACAUAUUAUUUGAAUUAAUAAAAAUUAUAUGAGUAUAAUUAAUAGAAAAUUAAUUUAAUAUAAAUAAAUAUAGUGCCAGCAAUUGCGGUUAAACUUUAUAUAUAAAUUAAUUAAAAAUAAAAUAUAAUUUUAUAUUUUAAUGUAAUUUUAAAUAAAAAAAAAAUUAUAUGGUGAAAUAUUUAAUUUUUUAAAUUAUUUAAAUAGUUUGAUGUAAUAUAAAAAAAAUUUAAAUAUAAAUUAGGAUUAGAUACCCUAUUAUAAAAUUUAAAAGAAAAAAAUUUAUGUAUUAAAUGUAAAAUCAUUAAAAUAAAAAGAAUUGGGGGAAUUUAAAAAUUUUAAAGGAACUUGUAUUUUAAUUUGAUAAUCCACGAAUGGAUAAACUUACUUAAAUUUUUAUAUAUUGUUGUAACAAAAUUAUUUUAAAAAAGUUAUAAUUAAAAAUUUUAAAAAAAAAAUUAUUCAAAUCAAAAUAUAGAAUUAGUAAGAAUUUUAUUAGUUACAAUAUAAAAAAUAUUAAAUAAUUUAAAUUUUAAUAUUUAAUAAUUAAUUGAAUUUAAAAGUAAAAAUAUAAAAAUAUAUAAUUUGAAUAAAAAUUUUAAAUUACUACAAAUUGCCCGUCAUUUUUAAAUUAAUUUUAAAAAAAGUCGUAACAAAGUAAAUGUACUGGAAAGUGUAAUUAGAAAAAA